AUUCAUGGCAUCACUUUUUAUCAGCUCAAAGAUGCAAACAUCCCCCAUUUCUAGUGAAUUUUCCCUUGCAAACGUAGGCCAACCGCCACAAAACUUAGCAACUUUCCACUUUGAAUAUCGUAUCAACUUCACAGGCCACAAUCUAUCAGCAACUUGAAGGGUUAAAUUCACUAUCCUGGCCUUAACAUAUCUCCGGCUGAAGUUAAUUGGUACACACACACUAGAGUACUUGAGCCGAUCUAACCGGACAACAGACUUGAAGAAUGGAUUAUUUGAGAUGAACUUGUUUGCUUCUUCAAGAGCUUGAGAAUUACUUGAACAUGGAGGCCUUUUGCCCUGCCUACCGGUAUUCUUUUUGCUUGCUGUCGAUUGCUUGAGCUUUCCUUCAUAUUCUCUCUUGGAACAAUGUGAACUCUCAACCUUUAUACAAGUAGAUGGAGUGGCUUGAUUGCUAAGAUAUGCAGGUGAACUGGGAAACAACGAAUCCAAUGUUUUAGCAGUUGAAUCAGUUCUGGUUAUUUUGCAAGACUGCUGAUCUAUCGAUAAUGGUGAUUUCUCCCCAACUUUUCUUCGUUGAGACAGAUUAUCCACAAUUUCAACAGAGGCAUCAUCUUCAUUAUUUUCCAUCACAGGCUCAUGAUUUUGAUCCACAGUGCAUACACCUUUACAUGGAUACUCUAUCUCUGAUGCACUCUUGUCAAGUAUGAAUACACAGAAAUGGCCAUGUCCUUCAUAUUUAAAAACUAAAAAGUACCCAUGGUCCACAGAGUGAUGUUUAGCGAAUUCUUGCCAACCCUUCUCCAGCCAAACCUUACCAUCACAUUCCAACAACUCUACUUGCCAUGUAGUACCACUGGGGACCUUAAGGAUGACAGGACUUGGCAAAUCCUUUCCAUGCUUCCUCAUGAACUUUUUGGGAAUCUCAAGUUUUCCCUCCCGGAUAGAAUCAUCAAGAAUUAUCUUGAAGAAAUGGGGUUCUCUCUCCAUAAUCGUGAACGCAAUGGGUAGCUUUCUUUCGAGAGAGUCCAUGCAGAAACAAAAAGAAAACGCACUUCACAUAGUGAGAGAGCUCAUAGGGUCAUAAUUGCAACCUGCAAGCUA
rnacentral:misc_RNA from 1 species